UACGGAGGGUGCAAGCGUUAUCCGGAUCCACUGGGUUUAAAGGGUGCGUAGGCGGGCAGGGAAGUCAGUGGGGAAAUCUCCGGGCUUAACUCGGAAACUGCCGUUGAUACUCUCUGUCUUGAAUACCGUGGAGGUGAGCGGAAUAUGUCAUGUAGCGGUGAAAUGCUUAGAUAUGACAUAGAACACCAAUUGCGAAGGCAGCUCACUACACGCAUAUUGACUCUGAGGCACGAAAGCGUGGGGAUCAAACAGG
rnacentral:rRNA from 1 species